GAUUAACGCUGGCGGCGUGCAUAACACAUGCAAGUCGAACGAUGAAACUUUAAUGAUCCCUUCGGGGAGAAUUAAAGCGGAUUAGUGGCGAACGGGUGAGUAACGCGUGAGUAACCUGCCUUACACAAGGGGAUAGCCUUUGGAAACGAAGAAUAAUACCCUAUAAAACCAUAAAAGCACAUGCAAUUAUGUUCAAAGUGAUAGCGGUGUAAGAUGGACUUGCGUCUGAUUAGCUAGUUGGUGAGAUAAAAGCCCACCAAGGCAACGAUCAGUAGCCGGCUUGAGAGAGUGUACGGCCACAUUGGGACUGAGACACGGCCCAGACUCCUACGGGAGGCAGCAGUGGGGAAUUUUGCACAAUGGGGGAAACCCUGAUGCAGCGACGCCGCGUGAUUUAGAAGGCCUUCGGGUUGUAAAAAUCUUUUGUAUAGGAAGAAAAUGACAGUACUAUACGAAUAAGGUCCGGCUAAUUACGUG
rnacentral:rRNA from 1 species